CUCAAAGACACCAGAGAACCAUCAAAGCGCAUCCAUGGUUGAGGAGAGGCAGACUGACGACCCUGAGGUGAAGGCUGGCACUCUUAAAACACAAGGUAAUUGAUUAAAUCAAAA